rnacentral:rRNA from 1 species
UUGCCAGACUCCUACGGGAGGCAGCAGUGGGGAAUAUUGCACAAUGGGGGGAACCCUGAUGCAGCGACGCCGCGUGGGUGAAGGAGUACUUCGGUACGUAAAGCCCUAUCAGCAGGAAAGAAAAUGACGGUACCUGACUAAGAAGCCCCGGCUAACUACGUGCCAGCAGCCGCGGUAAUACGUAGGGGGCAAGCGUUAUCCGGAUUUACUGGGUGUAAAGGGAGCGUAGACGGCAGUGCAAGUCUGGAGUGAAAGGCGGGGGCUCAACCCCCGGACUGCUCUGGAAACUGUACGGCUGGAGUGCAGGAGAGGUAAGUGGAAUUCCUAGUGUAGCGGUGAAAUGCGUAGAUAUUAGGAGGAACACCAGUGGCGAAGGCGGCCUACUGGACGGUGACUGACGCUGAGGCUCGAAAGCGUGGGGAGCAAACAGGAUUAGAUACCGCGUAUG